rnacentral:rRNA from 1 species
GUUUGAUCAUGGCUCACAUUGAACGCUGGCGGAAUGCUUUACACAUGCAAGUCGAACGGCAGCACGAGAGCUUGCUCUUGGUGGCGAGUGGCGAACGGGUGAGUAAUAUAUCGGAACGUAUCCAAUAAUGGGGGAUAACUAAUCGAAAGGUUGGCUAAUACCGCAUACGCCCUACGGGGGAAAGCAGGGGAUCUUCGGACCUUGCGUUAAUGGAGCGGCUGAUAUCUGAUUAGCUAGUAGGUGAGGUAAAGGCUCACCUAGGCGACGAUCAGUAGCUGGUCUGAGAGGACGACCAGCCACACUGGAACUGAGACACGGUCCAGACUCCUACGGGAGGCAGCAGUGGGGAAUUUUGGACAAUGGGCGCAAGCCUGAUCCAGCCAUUCCGCGUGAGUGAAGAAGGCCUUCGGGUUGUAAAGCUCUUUCGCAAGGGAAGAAACGAUACAGACGAAUAAUCUGUGUUAAUGACGGUACCUUGAUAAGAAGCACCGGCUAACUACGUGCCAGCAGCCGCGGUAAUACGUAGGGUGCGAGCGUUAAUCGGAAUUACUGGGCGUAAAGCGUGCGCAGGCGGUUUUGUAAGUCAGAUGUGAAAUCCCCGAGCUCAACUUGGGAACUGCGUUUGAAACUACAAGGCUAGAGUAUGGUAGAGGGGGGUAGAAUUCCACGUGUAGCAGUGAAAUGCGUAGAGAUGUGGAGGAAUACCAAUGGCGAAGGCAGCCCCCUGGACUAAUACUGACGCUCAUGCACGAAAGCGUGGGGAGCAAACAGGAUUAGAUACCCUGGUAGUCCACGCCCUAAAACGAUGUCUACUAGUUGUUGGGAGAGUAAAAUCU